GACUGAAUUUCUGAAACUGGCCCUUUAGCUGAGAGUGGCCAUCCUUGCUGGGGCGGGCGGUUUACCAGUUUACUAACAUUGUUACCAGGCAGCAGCCCCGGCAGCAUUUUACUAAAUCCUCAACAAGAAAACUCUCAACUCGUCUGAAGUUUCAGUUUGUUUGUUGUUACUGGAGUUAUAUCAGGGAGUUCUUUUCUAUGCCAGACUGGAGUUCAGAUUUAAAUCUCGCCCAACUCAAAAGCAAGCGCACAGGAAACACGAACCUCGCCGCCGUGAGAGCAGCCUGAGUGAGCCAGCACUCACCAAGGAAAGGGCUGCAGGUUCGCUUGAGAGUGAGGAUAAGCCGAAUUCCUCAUGCUCCUCACUGAGACUUCCCCUCACUGAGACUUCACGCUCCUCACUGUCGGCUAUCGGCCGACAGGAGAUCUCACAUCCAAGUCACAAAGACUCAGAACCUUCUUCAACAAGAAACGUCACUUACAACGUGUUUGCUUCUCCAUCUCUAAGCUCAAAGUGCCCCGUUUCUCUACAGCAAAUUAGACUUUUUGCCUAUUUUGGUGCUGAGAAGCCCAAACUACCAACCAAAGCUUUGGUUUUCUCUAAGGGCUGUCGGCACAGACGAGAGGCCGGGAUUGUUCUCUAGCAACCCCUGCUGGUUGACGAUAAAUGCCAGAAACUGACCCAGAGGCAUGAGUUCAUCCCCACGUUGGAGGGAAGUAAAAGAUGUCAGGCUGAGGGAGAGCAGGUAGCACCUGAACAGUAAGGUGUAAUAGAUUGUUGUGGGCCCUUAAAAUUAUCGUGGGCGCCAUGCCUUGGGGCCCAGUGGAGAAGGCGGCUCUGCUCUCUGAAAUGUUCCCCUAAGGGGCCUGGAAUACUUUUCUUCUUCAAGUUGCCUCUGAGUUUGAAGAUGUUUUAGUGCUGCUUUACUCAUUAGCUAAGAUACUGGUCCUAACAUAUCUUUACAUCUAUUUUCUGAUAUACUGUGCCAUAUGUCUUUUAAACAAAACACCGCUUCCUGGCAAAGAAGCCACUGAGAGGCCAGUUGUUUGUUUGUGCACAGCUGGGUUUCGUCUUGCCUCUUGAAGACCUAGGCUUAAUUUCCUGAGUGCAUUUCACCAUACCUGGAGACGUUUGGACAAAGCCGCAGACACAACUCGCACGCUCACACCCAGUGCCCAUACAUCACCAACUUACAUUCAUCUAUUCAUUUGUUCAGAAAAAAAAAAACCCACCUAGUUUAUGUUUUUAAAAUUUCCCCCAAUUAAACUGCCACUUCUAGGGCUUAAGAAACAAACCCAGGAGAUAAAUUCAGAGAUGUGUACAUAACCCAGUUAGAUCUCAUGAGCAAAAAUGAAUCCUAAGACUUUUGCAACAUUUUCCCUGGAGAGUGUUGGAUGCAGAUGUGAGUUCUGGAACUGUGAUGGUCAUUUUGUUACCACGAGCAGACCCUGCCUGAAGACGAAGGAAUGUAGAACUGACAAAGACACAGAAAGAUUGAGCCAGAAUCCUGAAACAAUGACUUAAAAUUAGAUCACAAUUAGAAUUUGUUGCUUUGUGAGGUAGUGAGCUACCUAUUGCUGGAGGUGAUGAAGCACUGGUUGUGAGCCAGAUCAAAACCCUGUCCUGGGGAGACAAUUGGGUAUGUCCAGGUGCAGUUGUUCAAUGUGAUUUAGUCCCUACCAGGAGGUCUGGUUGCCUGGGUUCAGAACAGCAGAGGAAAAAUUAGACAAAAGACACAUUCAGAAGUCAAGGUGCUCUGACAGUUCAGCAGAGAUAUGACCUAACUUCAACCAGCAGACAGGAUCUGACCUAGGAAAGAUGAAGACAAAAACCAGAUCUCAAACAGAUGUAUUGUAGUUCAAGGUAGGGCAAUCAGACCUGUAGGGAGACUGAGCAGGCCACUGAAUUGGGCCCCCGAAAGAGAAGCCCAGACACGAGGACUGGACCCACCCAGGAACUGGGAGUAAAGCAAUUUGGGGACAGAUGGGUCCUAGGCCUCGCCUCUAGGAAACCUGGAUUGCCCAGUCGGUGCUGAAGGUGUUUCAGAUCUGCUUGGAUCUAUAAUAUUGGACUUGAUUUCAGGGGAAGUGUGUAUCUGGAAAUAAAAAUCAGAAAAUUUGGAGAAUAAAAGAACAAGGAAAAUUAAGGAAGGAUUUUUUUCAACCUUAAAAGCCACCUUGAGAAAUGAGAGGAGAGAGGAUUGGCUACUCGUCUAAAUUACUGAGAAGCAAAUGGAACCACAUGUUACAAAUAUUUCACAAGAACCAGUACCAUACCUUUAAACAUCUUGAUUAUGAUCUACUUGACAGUCAUAUUUGAGUUGUUGCUCUGUAUAACAUAGGAGUUGGGCUACACCUUCAGAAUAACUGGCAAAGCACCACCAACUGGCUGUGUCCUGAGAGGCUACCCAGCAACCUGGCUUUUUGUCUGAGUAUCAGACGCCCACUCUUCAUUGGACCAUAGAGGUUUUUCUCCCUAGUCCUCACCUCCAGCUCACUCCGCCAAGUUAUUAGGAGUCUCUGAAAGAAACACGGAACACCCAGAGCAGAAAGCCAAUUGUCUAAUUGGGCCAUCAGAUAGGGAAGAAAUGACAACUUCAACAAGAUUUCUUGUGAUCUUUGAGAGGCAGAAGGAAACCAUGGCAUUGAGGAAGGAGUAGAUGAUCACACCCAGCCUCCUGGCUUGAUUAAUAAGCGACAGAAUCAUGUUCCUGUUUUGAGGAAGCUUUCCUAUCAUGGCUGUCGUCUCUGGAGAGCUCCAGCCUACAAAGCGAUAACAUCUGUAGAUCUAAGAAGACAGACUGUGGCUCCAUCUAGGUCAAAGCUUUUCUAUGCAGGUACAGUCACAUUUAUGUCUUUUAAUAAUAGAGUUCAUCCAUCAUGCAACAUUGAUGAUCCCUGCAGAAGUUAAAAGUCUAGGAAUCAGAAAUUUGGAAUGUGUUUUGCCUCUUCAAUUGCCUCUACUGAUCAAGAAAGCAAAGACCCCCUAAACUUCAGGACAAAAAAUGAAGAAUAAAUUUGAUUUGUGUUAGUGCCAAUACAGUUUUGAGUAUGUGUGUAGCUUUGAUGUGAUUAAAAAC
rnacentral:lncRNA from 1 species